rnacentral:piRNA from 1 species
CUAUUUCUGAUCUCUUUCGUGGUCCUU